CGCAGGGGCGGUGGAGAGUUCGGGCCUUCGAGGUACGGUGCUCCCGACAGCGGGUCCAUUUAAGUGUUUUGUACUAUUGUUAUCUGCAUUAAACCCUGAAUUCCAAGCAGCUUCCAGCUCGCGAUGCUGCGCGGCUGUCCGUAGGCAUCUACUCCCAUCCGGCACGUUCGUUCAGCCCGACGGGUGCAGCGCAAUCUCGGCUCAUUUUCUCUAAGCAGUACCAGGUCCCGGACGAGCUCCUCAGCCAGCUAUCCUCUCCAGCCAUGGACCUCCCAGGCUGCGCGCCGCCCGCCCUCUGAGGAAGCUCCUUCACCCCGCGCGGAGGAGCAGGAGGAGGAGGAGAAGGGAGG